rnacentral:lncRNA from 1 species
UCUGGAGCAAUUUCCGCCAUCUUUUUUCAAAUAAUUCUUCAGUCCAUGACCUAUAUAUGCAUUUACGAAGUUUUUUCAUGAAUGUAUCGUGCCACGGGCUCUGAUAAUCAAGAUGCCUAGGGAUCUUUUCCAGUACAUUCCACAGGUGGAAAAAAUGAUGAGUGGGGAUCUUUUCCAGUACAUUCCACAGGUGGAAAAAAUGAUGAGUGUCGGGAAAGACAACUGGAACAGCUGCCUUGAUGGCAUCAUUUUGGUCAGUAAGUAUGAUUCUAGGACUUUCUUUCCCCAUUGCCAAACGCCAUGUUUGCAUCAACCAAACAAAAGUAUGCACAGUUUGAU